rnacentral:rRNA from 1 species
GAUGAACGCUGGCGGCGUGCCUAAUACAUGCAAGUCGAGCGAAUGGAUUAAGAGCUUGCUCUUAUGAAGUUAGCGGCGGACGGGUGAGUAACACGUGGGUAACCUGCCCAUAAGACUGGGAUAACUCCGGGAAACCGGGGCUAAUACCGGAUAACAUUUUGAACCGCAUGGUUCGAAAUUGAAAGGCGGCUUCGGCUGUCACUUAUGGAUGGACCCGCGUCGCAUUAGCUAGUUGGUGAGGUAACGGCUCACCAAGGCAACGAUGCGUAGCCGACCUGAGAGGGUGAUCGGCCACGCUGGGACUGAGACACGGCCCAGACUCCUCCGGGAGGCAGCAGUAGGGAAUCUUCCGCAAUGGACGAAAGUCUGACGGAGCAACGCCGCGUGAGUGAUGAAGGCUUUCGGGUCGUAAAACUCUGUUGUUAGGGAAGAACAAGUGCUAGUUGAAUAAGCUGACACCUUGACGGUACCUAACCAGAAAGCCACGGCUAACUACGUGCCAGCCGCCGCGGUAA